AGUAACGGCGAGUGAAGCGGUAACAGCUCAAAUUUGAAAUCUGGCUCCUCGGGGCCCGAAUUGUAAUUUGUAGAAGAUGCUUUGGGUCUGGGCCUGGCCUAAGUUCCUUGGAACAGGACGUCGUAGAGGGUGAGAAUCCCGUAUGCGGCUGGCGCCCGUGCCCGUGUAAAGCUCUUUCAACGAGUCGAGUUGUUUGGGAAUGCAGCUCUAAAUGGGUGGUAAAUUUCAUCUAAAGCUAAAUAUUGGCCAGAGACCGAUAGCGCACAAGUAGAGUGAUCGAAAGAUGAAAAGCACUUUGGAAAGAGAGUUAAACAGUACGUGAAAUUGUUGAAAGGGAAGCGCUGGCAACCAGACUUGGGCGCUGUUGAUCCGCUAGGGUUCUCUCUAGGGCACUCGGCAGUGCGCAGGCCAGCAUCGGUUUGGGGGGUUGGAGAAUGGCUGGUGGAAUGUGGCUGUCUUCGGGCAGUGUUAUAGCCACCGGUGGCAUGCAGCCUCCCCGGACCGAGGACCGCGCUUCGGCUAGGAUGCUGGCGUAAUGGUUGUCAGCGACCCGUCUUGAAACACGGACCAAGGAGUCUAACAUCUAUGCGAGUGUUUGGGUGUUAAACCCAUACGCGGAAUGAAAGUGAACGUAGGUGAGAACCCGCGAGGGUGCAUCAUCGACCGAUCCUGAUGUCUUCGGAUGGAUUUGAGUAAGAGCAUAGCUGUUGGGACCCGAAAGAUGGUGAACUAUGCCUGAAUAGGGUGAAGCCAGAGGAAACUCUGGUGGAGGCUCGCAGCGGUUCUGACGUGCAAAUCGAUCGUCAAAUUUGGGUAUAGGGGC
rnacentral:rRNA from 1 species